UUAAAACCCAAAGGACUUGGCGGUGCCCUAAACCCACCUAGAGGAGCCUGUUCUAUAAUCGAUAACCCCCGCUUAACCUCACCGCUUCUUGCCAAAACCGCCUAUAUACCACCGUCGCCAGCCCACCCCGUGAGGGAGACACAGUAGGCAGAAUGGCCCCCGCCAAAACGUCAGGUCAAGGUGUAGCGUAUGAAGUGGAAAGAAAUGGGCUACAUUUUCUGACUCAGAACACACGGAAGGUCACUAUGAAACCUGACCUAAAGGAGGAUUUAGUAGUAAAGAAAAACAAGAGAGUUCUCUUUAACUCGGCCCUGGGGCGCGC
rnacentral:rRNA from 1 species